CAAACGGCUCUUUUAAGAGCUACAAACACGUUAUCAUUGAGCAAA
rfam:Gasterosteus aculeatus cont1.005574, whole genome shotgun sequence.